GCACAUUAAACUUUAGAAGUCUUUAUUCCCUUAUGAGCUAAGCUGUGAGUUAGGCAGUUUACAGGUGGGCAUGGAUUCAAGUAUCCUGAGUCUUUGUGAUAUAGAUAAACAGAGAAAUUACAUUUCUCUGUCCUCGUGACUUCACAAAAGAAGCCAUAGCAACAAGUGGAAUUUUUUCUAUAACAACUUUUUUUUAAACACACACAGGCUGCAAACUCAGCAUUUCAGGGAUCAAGGCAGUGUCAGUGAAGGGGGCUGCUGAAGCAAGAAAAAAAUCGUUCAGCAUGGAGUAGAGUGAGAGAAGAAAGAAAAAAGAGAUAGGCUCUAUGUUAACAGGAGAAGCAAACUUGUAAGCUUUCGGGAAUGUUCCAGCGAGAGGGACUGGACACUACCAGGGAGAUGGUUUUGGGGAAACUCAGGACUGGAAGAUCUGAUGGUGUUGCCCUGCAAGGAGUAACCAGGCUGGCAGAAGUCAGGGUGACUCCAUUUUGUGCUGAAAGCACAUUGCUGGUAACAGGGCUCUGAGUCAAAGCUGCACAGCACAAAGGCAUCCAGGGCUAGAGGGCAGGUGGUGACACAACCCCUUGAUGGUCUGGAUUGACUCCUAAAGCAUCACAGAAGGGUACUGCUUUUACCCAUGUUUUCUGAAACUUGACAACUGAGGAAGGAAGAUGUAUAUAUUAGUACCGCUGAAAAGGAAAGGAAAUUACCAUUUUUCUCUUCUAAUCUGAAGACAGAACAUUAAAUUGAACAAUAUGUUGCAGUGGUAUACACAAUACUGUUCUUAUGAGCUUAACUUCAUGUGAAAUUAAGAUGGAAAUUGGUCUCUAAUCUCUCUCACAUAUUCCCAUGCAGCUGCUUCA